GACGAACGCUGGCGGCGUGCUUAACACAUGCAAGUCGAACGCUGAAGCUCAGCUUUUGUUGGGUGGAUGAGUGGCGAACGGGUGAGUAACACGUGAGUAACCUGCCUCCUUCUUUGGGAUAACGCCCGGAAACGGGUGCUAAUACUGGAUAUUCACUGGUCUUCGCAUGGGGGUUGGUGGAAAGGGUUUUUCUGGUGGGGGAUGGGCUCGCGGCCUAUCAGCUUGUUGGUGGGGUGAUGGCCUACCAAGGCUUUGACGGGUAGCCGGCCUGAGAGGGUGACCGGUCACAUUGGGACUGAGAUACGGCCCAGACUCCUACGGGAGGCAGCAGUGGGGAAUAUUGCACAAGGGGCGCAAGCCUGAUGCAGCGACGCCGCGUGAGGGAUGGAGGCCUUCGGGUUGUGAACCUCUUUCGCUCAUGGUCAAGCCGCAACAAUGGUUGUGGUGAGGGUAGUGGGUAAAGAAGCGCCGGCUAACUACGUG
rnacentral:rRNA from 1 species